AGCUGCGAGCUUGGUUGAAGAUGGAUUUGGAGAUGCCAUGGUCUUUUUUUUUUUCUUUUUUUGAAAAGGAUGCCAUGGUUGACUCUUGAAUUAUUGGGUUGGUUUGGUAUUUAUGUAGAUUAUAUGAUGAUAUGAUAGCAUAGGGUAUGAUUUGUAUCACUAUUACUAUUACUAUGGUAUAUCUAUCUAUCUAUCUAUCUAUCUAUAAAAGCAGAGUUUCUGCAGCCUUGAGGGCAAAUCAGUAAUUCAAUAAGCCAAUUUACAUGAACUUCAAUUUUAACAUGGUUAUUUUAGUAAAUCUCAAAAUAAUUCAAUCUUAGCCGUCCAUUGAUUUUAAUCUUUACGGUCUUGGCCAAACCCUUUCGGAUUGCCCUCUCACAUUCGCUCAAGUAGAUUUCCGUUUCCAUUCUAUCAUCCCAUCUGAUGUUUACGUUUUUUUUUUCCGCAAUCAAGGCUUCAGUUUCAAUUCCACCAUCUCUUCAAACCCUCAUUCGUUUGGUUCCAGUAUUAAGGUGGGUCAUGGGUGACCGUUUCAUUCGCUCUGAACAUUCCCCCUUUCGUUAGAUUGUCUGCAUCAGAGAGAUCAGUUCCGGCAUCGACUACUUUGUCCAAGAUGACUUCGACAUCUUCACAAGGUUUUGGAGCAUUUUCUUUUCGGAGAAGCUUAGAAAUUUGGUGUAGCAGAACACGAAUCCUCACGGAGUGGUGCAAAAGAAGGAACAGAAGUCCAGAACAUCGGAAGUACAUUGGAUGGGUAGGUGUGCAUAUUACUAAUCCUUGCAUCAGAUUUUAGCUUUCCAAUGAGAAGUGAUCGUGGAAGGAUUUAUGGCUUGGAGAUUGAUGGAGAGUUCGAUGGCUGCAAUGGGUUCUGUUCAGGCUAAGGCAAACAUCAUGAAGUUGAAUGAGGAAAGGCGCAUGAAUACUAGAGAAAAAAAAUUCUUAAGAAAGAGUUGGGAGAUAUAUGCUGAUUUUGCAUAAGCCAAUAUUCCAUCCGUUCUAGAUUAUGUGGGAACUGUCAUUGAGUAAAACUUCUGAUAGUGAAGUAAAUAUCAAGGGAGCUUCCUUAUACAGUCAACUUAUGAGGUGAAAGUCUGAAAGAAGCUAUGGAAGUUGAAAGAACAAUUCAUGCUCCAUCAGAGGAGCUAUCAGAAAAUUCGAGCACCUCAUGGCUACUGGACGAGGUUCCACUGUUACUGGCACAGAUGUUGAUCUACGUAGAUUAGGCAUGGAAGCUGCUCGAGAGGUGUAUCACAUUUUAGUUAUCUGCUAUAAACGUAAAUGAUUUUCUUGAUGAACCCGGAACAGACAAGUAUGAACGUGAAACAGCUUCAAGGGACUCUUUGUUUGUACUCUAAGUAGAAGGCAAGGGUUUUAAUCUUCUUCCAUCUUCAAUUCACCAUUAGAUUCUUCCCCUUACUUUUCAUAGAUUAUUAUUCUCUUUCAUGCAUUAUCCAGUUUAUUUUCCUAAUUGGUCUUACUGAUUAUUCUUUUGGUGUGAUUUUGAACAUGAAGAAGAUCAACUUUAUAUCUUGUCAUAGAGCAGGGCUCCAAGAGCUGGCUCUAGCGCAGUUCGAUCAGGUCAGGUUACUGAGUUGUUACCUGACAAGUUUAUGUGUUCAAUGUUGAUGGAUGUAUGUUCUAACUUGCGAUAUUUGGACAAGGGCAAGCAAUAUUUUACCUUCUGUUUCAAGUGCGGCUAUUUACAAAACGAGAUCAAUGGGAUACAACUCUGUGUACUUCCAUGAUUUCAAGCUAUACUGCUACGCGUGGUUUAGGAGAUCAAUGGGAUACAACUCUAUGUAUCAUGCUCUGCAUCUUUUUCCUUUAACCUUGAUAGAGAAUAUUCGGUAGACGGAGUACAUGGUUAGCUGUAUUCUGAGUUAUGUUUCCAUUUUUUAUGAGUAGAAGUAGGUAAAAUCCAUGCUUUGGUUAUCAUAUUUUGGCCCCAUUGGACAUGAUAGUUCUGAGACUAUUCAUAGAGCUUUUCAUCUUGGUGCUAAUUUCAAGACGAUUAUUGGUGCAAAGAUGCUUAAAGUAAAAAAAAAACAGUGUAAAUAUCCACAUGUAUGGGAUCUAAUUGAGUCCAUGCUACUUGAACAUCAAGCAAAUAUGAGGAAAUUGAGAUUGAUCUACAUGACGGGAAAAGAAAAUGUGAGUCUUUAUGGCCUAUAUUAUUUCAAUUUGCUCACAAUGAGAGCCCCUACACAUUUGAAGCUGUUUGCAAAAUGGAAGAAUUGUACAGGUUAUAGGGAAGGUUUAACUAGCUGCAGUUUUUCAAGAACUUUUUUGUGAUGGAUUCAUUUUACGUGAAGUGAGUUAUUGCUUAA